rnacentral:tRNA from 1 species
GCAACUUUAGUUUAAUUAAAAUAACAGUUUGUCUCACUGUAGAUGGCUAUGGCCAAGUUGCU